CCCUUGACCGGAUUGGCUGGUCUUGGCUAUGUAAGAUAUUGUACCAACUGAAAUAAAUGAGUUUGCGGGCUGCUUGCCUCAAGCCUGCUUUCACCGGACUCCCGGGGUCUGUGUGGUGACUCUGUGCCUCUUGCCCCCACCACGCUCAUUCUCUCAGAAAUGAAUCUACUGCAACAUUGUUGAGAAAUCAACUGCAACAGUGAAGUAUGAAGAACUCUGCUUUGGUGACCUCAUUACAUGGCUAGCUGCUUCUCAGCAGGCAGAAAGAAACACUGGGAGCUGCAAAACACCAGUGUUGACCUGUGUGUUGUGCUCGGCAUGUGAGAGCCAGGGUGACAUAACUCACCAUGUGGGACCUGUUACCAGCCUUGUUCUGGGCUGCUUGCCAAGGUUUAAAAUCUACUUGGUUAGAAUACAUGCUUUGAUUUAUCUACAAAUUGAUCAAAUGUACACAUAUUUUAAGCAACAUGAUUAUUAUACGUAUAUUUUUUGAGAUAUUGCUAUCAACACUAUAAAAGAUAUGAGUGAUAUCGCCUUUCUAUUUACAGAAAAUGGUAAGAUAUGGCAUAUUGUUUCCCUUAGUACUUGGGAUAAUAUAUUUUAAAACUGUAUAUAGUUGGUGCUUCUUUGGUGCUCCAACUUAAGAGUGCUGGCUAGAUUUCUUUGUGGAAAAAUUGAAAUUAUACUUACGUGUGCUUAUAGUUUGCUUGGUCAUUUAGGUUUUUUUACAUAGUUUUUCAAACAGAAGCAUCAUACAUGCUUUAAUUUGAAUAUUAGAAUUAUGAUAUAUCAGCAGACCAUGUCUUCUUCUCCCGCCAUACAUGAAAGUCAGAGGAUGAUUUUGAAAAAGUCAUUGCCUGUUUGGGAAACACUUACACUUUGAAAAAAAGACACCAGAAAGAGAUAUUGGAAGAGUUAUUUCAGCCCGUUUCUAGAUGUGGUACUGUGGCAAUGCAUUACAGAGAAUGUCUGAAUUGUAAUAUAUGAAAAGAUACAUUGAAAGACAAAGUUACAGAAAGAGGUAGAGACAGAGAGAGAGGUCUUCCA
rnacentral:lncRNA from 1 species